GACGUCGCCUUUGGGGCUUGAAGAA
rnacentral:miRNA from 1 species